rnacentral:snRNA from 1 species
GUGCUGGCUUUGGUAGCACCUGAACUAAAACUGGAAUGAUACAGAGAAGAUUAGCAUGGCCCUACUCAAGGAUGACGUUCAUAUUUCUGAAGCAUUCCACAUUUCU